rnacentral:rRNA from 1 species
GGGUAGUAGGAGAGGAUCUUGAAACCUAAAAUUUUUGGCGGUUUUUUAGUCUAAUUAGAGGAAUCUGUUCUGUAGUAGAUAACCCACUUUAAAUUUAACUUUGGUUAAAGCUUAUAUACCGCCGUCGUAAAGUGUGUUUUUUAGAUUUCAUUUAGGGGCUUAAGGGUUAGAAGAGAAAUGACAGGUCAAGGUGUAGCUAAUGCUGGAGGGUGAAAUGGAUUACAAUCUCAGAUUGGGAUACGGAUGUUGGUGAGAAAAAUUUGCUGCUUGAAGGUGGAUUUAUGAGUAAUAGAUAUAAUUAAGAUGUAGUUAUGAAGAUAGCUCUAAAGAAUGU